rnacentral:lncRNA from 1 species
CAACAUGUGACAUAACCCUGUAUGUUUUGUAGGGACAAUCCAGGACGUGUAUUUCUCAGCACCCAGUCAACUGCCAGAAGUGACUCAAACACAGGCCACCAGAGACAAUGCCUACGAAAUUAUUGGCCCUGAUGACGAGAGCCCUCAAGGGGCAAACGACAUCUCUGUUGCAGAAGUGAGCCUGAUACCACCUGAAGUUACCAUGACAGAUGACACGGCUGCAAUAGAUACAGAGACUGCCGUGUCUACUGCAGCUACAACAGAGUACGAGGCAAGCAGCAGCACGUCAGCAUCAGCAGUAGUGUCAGAAGGAACCAAACCAGGCCUGGUAGGGCAACAUGUGUGCUACCACUUUGACUUUUUUGUAGUGCAUACACCUCAUCUGCUCAACAUACGAAACCUUUUCACCACGACUGCGAGCCAGUGUUCUUGUGCAGCGAGAGCAAGACUAUGUUUGGUGGUAUAACACAGUAUAAGCAUCACUUUAAAAUAUGCAAACCCAUUACAGUUGUUGCCUCCCCGGCCGGCCCACAUAGCGACAACAAUGUGGAACGCA